AAUAAAGUGUAUUUUCAGAAUUCUAUCUGCUAUCAUUUUCAAGUUUACUAUCCACGGUGGUCACAGAGUUUAUUAAAUAGAGAGGGUCUGUAUACUAUAUCAUAAUCAAUGACCACCAUGGAUCGAUUAGAAAACUUAGAAUUGAAAGUAAAUACACGUUUAGAGUUUAUUAAAUAGAGAGGGUCUGUAUACUAUAUCAAUGACCACCAUGGAUCGAUUAGAAAACUUAGAAUUGAAAGUAAAUACACUUUAUUUAUAUAGUGAAUGUUCAUAAUAUACAGAUAAGCGCUAAAAUUAUUCAUGUGCACUUUUGAUACCUUUUCUGAAAUUCUCCAGUCAUUAAAUCUUUUACAAAAUUCAUUGAUUACAAAAAAAGAAGAUGUGGUAUGAUUGCCAUGUUGACAACUCUCCACAAGAGACCAAAAUGACACAGAAAUUAACAACUAUAGGUCAUCGUACGGCCUUCAACAACGAGCAAAGACCAUACCGCAUACUCAGCUUUAAAAGGCACCGAAAUGACAAUGUAAAACAAUUCAAACGAGAAAACUAGCGGCCUUAUUUAUGUACAAAAAAUGAACGAAAAACAAAUAUGUAACACAUAAACAAACGACAACCACUCAAGUACAGGCUCCUUACUUAAAUGUUCAUAACAUACUAAAUGUAUAUUCAUAUUGAAAUUGAUAGAAAACCACAAAUUGGGAAUUUUGGAAAUAAAGGAGGAGGGAUUAAAAAACUGAACAUUUUCCUGUCCCCAAUAACCUAUGAUUUAUGAUACUUUUGCUGAAAUUCUCCAGUCAUUCAAUAUUUCACAAAAUUCUUCCAACAACACUUUACAUACUUUAAACUACGCUCUGAAUGCCCGCGAUUUCGCGGGUGUGUUCUAGUAUCUAUUUAAUUUUG
rnacentral:lncRNA from 1 species